rnacentral:lncRNA from 1 species
GUAGCUGAUGAGGAUAUGAUUAUUUUGCUUUUCAGUGAUUAAUUUUGCAAAUUUUAUUGCUUAAUAGAGAGUGUCCUGUGAAGUCUUGCUACAGCUUUCCAGUUAUCUCAGCCUACCCCAAGUGUGAACUUGCAACCUGCGAGGGCUACCCCAGUACUAACCAUAGGCAACCAUGAAAAUGAAUCAUUUGGCUUCACCCAAAAUGAUGGAUAAUCCUGCUAGAAGAGCAUGACAAUGAUAGACAGACAUCUUCUGAAGGAAAAGAAUGAUUCCGAGUUGAGUUUCCUUUGUAAAAUGCCUGGAAAAUGUAGAGGAAGAGGGAGAUGCUGUGGAGGGAGAUGAUGUGGUCCCCGUCUCGCUGGCAAAGGAGAAG